AUCCAAUGGAGUCCGAGACGAGUGACAAGUGCCACCAAAGACCCAUGACCUCUAUAUCCAAUUCCACUAUGAGGGGCGCAAUAAAAGGAUACGGAGAGGGCAAAUGAGUUGUGACCCCCAACUUCCUUGAUUCAUCUCGGCAUCCUAUAAAGAAAGUUAUGUGUACAGUGACAUGAUGCAUGGAAAUUUCCCCAUUGUGGGAUCUUAUCUUCUCAUCUCAUCUCAUCUCAUCUCAUCUCAUCUCAUCUCAUCUCAUCUUAUGCUAACAGUGGGAGAGGAGAAUUUAUAUUAAGGCUACAGUAAAUAUGCAA